rnacentral:rRNA from 1 species
UACGGGGGGUGCAAGCGUUGUUCGGAAUUAUUGGGCGUAAAGCGCGUGUAGGCGGUUUGAUUAGUCUGAUGUGAAAUCCCUCGGCUCAACUGAGGACGUGCGGAAGAAACUGCGAGGCUCGAGUCCGGGAGAGGAGGGUGGAAUUCCCAGUGUAGCGGUGAAAUGCGUAGAUAUUGGGAGGAACACCGGUGGCGAAGGCGGCCCUCUGGACCGGUACUGACGCUGAUGCGCGAAAGCGUGGGGAGCAAACGGG